AGAGUUAUAGUUAAUUAUAACAUUUGAAUUGCAAUCAAGAAGUGCUAUUAAAAAGCUAACUUUA
rnacentral:tRNA from 1 species